GGAGGGAGCGCGGACGGGGGAAAGGCUGCACCGUCGCCAGGGGGCACCGGAAACCGCCUGCAGUCAUUUACAAGUGUCCAUCUCGAAGAAUGCCUCAGAAUUGAAUCCAAAGUUCCCUCAGUGUCAUCUUAUAAAUGGCCCCGGCUUCGCAGAGGCCGAGGGCCGGAUGGUCGCAGCCGGGCGCAGUCCGCCAGCCGGGAGGUUCUCCAUGUGGCCUCGGGACGCCCGGCGACUGCUGCAUUUGUGCCAGGCUGCACCGCAGGGACUCCGCGGGCACAGGGGCAGGUGCAGCAAUGAGGGUGUCAGGGAAGACUCGGGGCCCUGCUUCCCGGAGAACACGUGUUUCAGUCAGCCUGUGAGUCGCCCCCAAUUUGCCUUUAGAAUGCUAGUCUACAUUUGUGACAACCAAUCCACUUUUCAUUAGAAUUGGCAUUAGCCACCAAUCGACCUUUCCCUGGGUUCUGAAAUUCCUAAUUUUAAAGCAUGGCCAUUUGCAAAGACUUUAGUUUGAUAAAGUGGCCUCAGAACUGGCCACUAAGCUAUCAAGUUCCUUUCCUCCUGCGCAUGCAUGGCUGUUUUCAGGCAGAGCUGUUGAGGGAUCCUCCAGCGUAAAGGCAGGUCUGUUCAGUGCAGGACACGGUCUCAAACAACCCCCUGACCACCCACAAAAGCCUUUCUGAUAUUUGACACAUGCUCUCGGUAUACACUGCAGACCAAUUACUAAUAACACUACUGAGACAGCAUUAAUUACCCAGAGCUCCAUUUCAAGGUUGUACUUGGAAGGUGUCCAGUCUGCACCUGGGAGAGGACUGCAGCACAUCCCUGGCCAGUCAGAAAACAGAUUCCUCUCCCAAAACAUUGCCUGUCUUAGCUUGAAGUUGUAGCAAAGUGACAUGACGGCUGCCCAGAAGUGGCAGCAGGUCAGCUGAGCAGGCCAGGCCGUGGCCCAGCAGGCAGCAGGCGAGGCGCCACAUGUAGGGGGAGACCCUGGAAGAUGACACACAGGCGCCUGGUCAGAGUGAACUCUUUGUGGGCUGUGCGCCACGGCCCUGGGUUAGCCAGCCUGGCAGAUGACGCUUGGGACUAAAAUUCUCCAUCUCGCAGGAAAAGAGAACAGCUCUCUUUUUAUUACUUCAUUGAUCAAACAACAGUCAAAGAGCACUUGCUAUGUGCUAGGAAUAAUUCCAGGUGCCUUCAGGAGGUUUAGUGUGGUAGUGACGGACGGAAGUAAGUGCAAUUGAACUGAUAAAGCCAGGUCAGCAUGAGAGGGAGGCGGGCUGGGGAAAGCUGGACUCGCCACCUGUUGUGAGGGAGGGCGGUUGGGCCAGGUGGGAAUGUAGGUCACGGGGAGGAGGGUUCAGCUGAGGUAGCAGACCAUGGAGGGUCUUGGUGGCCACAUUAAGGAAUUUCAGCUUUUCAUAUGGCCGGGUGCGGGUGGCUCAUGCCUGGAAUCCCCACACUUGGGGAGGCUGAGGCAAGAGGACUGCUUGAGCCCAGGAGUUUGAGACCUGUCUGGGCAACACAGACCCUGUCUCUACAAAAAACUUCUAAAAUUAGCCAGGCGUGGUAGUGUCUGCCCGUAGUGCCAGCUACUUGGAGGCUGAGGCUUGAGCCCAGGACUUCAAGGCUACAGUGAGCUAUGAUUGCACCACUGAACUCCAGCCUGGACAAGAGAGAGAGAGAGACCCUGUCUCAAAUAAAUAAAAGUUUUUCACAGGUGACAACAAAGGAAUGACAGCCGUGUUUUUAGCACUCUGGCAGGCAUAUGGAGAAGCACUGGGUUGCUUUGGAGACCAGCUGGAAGAACAGGCUCAACAGUCCAGGGACUAAGAGGUGAGGACCACCACGGAGGCACAGGCACUGGGAGGGCUGAGAGGCUGGAUUCUAGAAAUAAAGAGGCGAGAGAGGGAGAUCUUGAAUGGCUCCGGGUUUCAGACUUCACUGAUAGCUCAUGUCACUCCUUAAGCCGAGUGCUAUUUGAGGGGCCUGUGCAGGGCGGGGGGUGGUCCCAGUGCCUGGAACCAAGCGUGUGUUGCAGUAGACACAUUUACUACAAGUACAGAGUGAUUCUGUGGGUCUGGAGCUCAGAAUCCUCACAGAUAAUUGAGGCUACAGAAGUGCACCCACUCAAGAAGUGUAUGGAAUGAGGGAGACGGCGGCCACGGCAUGUUCCUAGGUACCCCACACUUCAGAUGCCGGUGGAGGCGGCACAGCCCAAGAGGCCCAUGGGCCAGGGAGUGCAUGGCCUUGAAGGCAGUGAUCAUGGGUCCCCAGAGAAGCCAAGAGAAAGUGAAGCACCCUCAUGGGCAAUCAGGAGGGGGGCUGUGGACAGCAAGGCUUCUCCGGCCACAGCCAGGCUCUGGCCUCCCCAGGCCGUGCACAGAGGCUCCAGCAUGGAGGGGUUUUAUGGACCAGGAGGUGCUACAGGGAUUUCUAACUUUUUCCCAGUCACAAAGCAGGGACAGAGAGAUUCUUCAUUGCCUCUUUGCCUGGUCUGCCCCAAGCACGGUGUGAAUUAAUGUAGAACUCUAGAGGGAACGUCCCUAUGAACUCAGCCUCCUAUCCCAUCUCUGGAAAACGCAUCUUGCCUCAUCUAUGUUGCAGUUGUUAGAUGUCCGAGCAAAGCACUGUGACCUUGGGCAGUGCCCCUACACCACGUGUGCUGUUUCCUCGCUGGCAAAAUGAUGGCUAAGAUAACUCUCUCCCCUAGAAGUGGGAUGAGUUUAGAACAGAAUCCUGUGCCUGGGAAGAAUAACUGUAAAUCAUAGUAGAAACAAGUCCAGCCUGAUGGAAGAAGGAUACGGACUGCCAAAUACUGGACAAUUUCUAUGUGCUGGGAGCGUGCUGCCAUGCAGUUCUCACCUACCUGGCGAGGUGGGCACCGCUCCCACUCCUUUUCCAAAGCCGCCAUUCCCGUCGCCCCACGGCACACAACCUGAGUCGGAUCGGCCACACAAGGCUGACAUCAGGGCCUUCGAUCCUCCCAGGACAAAGGUGCAAGACUUGGUAUAACAUUUUGAGGCCAUCAAAAGACUAAAAAUUCUCCUGUAAAUCACUUCAAGAAGAACAAACUCUCAAACUGCGUUUCCUAGAUGUCAUUCUCAAUCACGAGGGUACCAUGAAUUCCACAACAGUGAGGCUGUGACGACGACAACCACUAUCUGCUAUUUCAGUAAGACGCUUCAAUUAGAACAUACACUUUCAAACAGAAGAUAAAAUUCGGCUCAGAUUCAAGUCUGAAUCUACCCAAAUCACUUCUUUCUACCUCUUAAUUUAUCUGCAAAUUGAACCUAGAAAGCAAAACCUGAAAAUAGCUUUUCGUAUAUGCCACUCACUGCCAGAAAACACUACCUUUCCUGGGAAAAUUGAGAAAAUACUGCAGCUGUUAUUUCAGAUCACGCCAGAGAGGGGAUACUCUUGACUUUUAUGUGCAGCCAACCCAGGGAAGGGGUAGGCAAGGAAGAGGGAAGGCUAAGCAGAGGCGCUGGAGGGUCCAAAGACAGGCAACCAGCGCCUUCAUGUUCUGAUCAGGCCUUUCAGCGUGCACGCUCCCCAGGUCCUGGCUCGAAUGAUGUCAAUGCAACAACCAAAGCAAAAUGCCAGAGCCGUGUCGGCCCCUUAAAGAAGAGAAUACACACAUCUGCUUACAAACUAGAUAGAAACCUUUAUUUCACAACUUUAUCAUCAUUCACAUUCUAAAAAGACGCAGACUGGAGGACACAGCUGAGAACACUGGGAGGCCAGAUGCCGGCAUCUUCCAGGCAGGAGCAUAGCCGUGGUCACUCUAGGGCCGACGUCUCCUGGGGCUCUCAGGCAGCACAGACCAGAUGCACCCCUACUGUCCAAUCCCAGUUUUACUUAGAGCCACCUCCUUUUUUGGGGCCAUUAGUCCUUAUUUCAUGCCACAUUUUCACUAGAGGCUCCCUGUUCUUCCAGAUCAGUUCAUGACCGUAAGUAACAUACCAUCUGGAGAAAAACAAACCAACCAGGUCCGACAUUCAAACAGUGUGACAUACAAACGAUUUCAUGUUCCCUGAGGCAGAGACCAGAUUUUGUUAUCUUGCAUCGAGCUCCCAGACACCUGACUGAAAAAAUGCUAUUUGAUUUGGAGUGGAUCAGAAGAGCAGUUUAAUGUUUUAAUAUUUUAAAAAUGUUCUGAAUGUGUAUGUUUAAUUAUAAAGGGCUUGAUUUGUACCUGAAUCUUAAUAUUCACUAAAUAUAGUUAAAAUCUGAUUAUACACAUUAAUUAAUAGGCAUGUAAUAAAAAUUCUCUGUGCUUA